UGCAGUCGAACGGCAGCAUGAUCUAGCUUGCUAGAUUGGUGGCGAGUGGCGAACGGGUGAGUAAUACAUCGGAACGUGCCCUGUAGUGGGGGAUAACUAGUCGAAAGAUUAGCUAAUACCGCAUACGACCUGAGGGUGAAAGUGGGGGACCGCAAGGCCUCAUGCUAUAGGAGCGGCCGAUGUCUGAUUAGCUAGUUGGUGAGGUAAAGGCUCACCAAGGCGACGAUCAGUAGCUGGUCUGAGAGGACGAUCAGCCACACUGGGACUGAGACACGGCCCAGACUCCUACGGGAGGCAGCAGUGGGGAAUUUUGGACAAUGGGGGCAACCCUGAUCCAGCAAUGCCGCGUGUGUGAAGAAGGCCUUCGGGUUGUAAAGCACUUUUGUCCGGAAAGAAAUCGCACUUACUAAUAUUAGGUGUGGAUGACGGUACCGGAAGAAUAAGGACCGGCUAACUACGUGCCAGCAGCCGCGGUAAUACGUAGGGUCCAAGCGUUAAUCGGAAUUACUGGGCGUAAAGCGUGCGCAGGCGGUUGUGCAAGACCGAUGUGAAAUCCCCGGGCUUAACCUGGGAAUUGCAUUGGUGACUGCACGGCUAGAGUGUGUCAGAGGGGGGUAGAAUUCCACGUGUAGCAGUGAAAUGCGUA
rnacentral:rRNA from 1 species